GCCUCCGUAGCUCAGUCUGGUAGAGCAGCUGUCUUGUAAACAGCAGGUCGCGGGUUCGAAUCCUGUCGGGGGCU
rnacentral:tRNA from 2 species